GACGAACGCUGGCGGCGUGCUUAACACAUGCAAGUCGAACGGAAAGGCCCUGCUUUUGUGGGGUGCUCGAGUGGCGAACGGGAGAGUAACACGUGAGUAACCUGCCCUUGACUUUGGGAUAACGUCAGGAAACUGGGGCUAAUACCGGAUAGGAGCACCUGCUACAUGGUGGGGGUUGGAAAGUUUCGGCGGUUGGGGAUGGACUCGCGGCUAAUCAGCUUGGUGGUGGGGUAGUGGCUUACCAAGGCUUUGACGGGUAGCCGGCCUGAGAGCGUGAACGGCCCCAUUGGGACUGAGGUACGGCCCAGUCUCCUACGGGAGGCAGCAGUGGGGAAUAUUGCACAAUGGGCGGAAGCCUGAUGCAGCAACGCCGCGUGCGUGAUGACGGCCUUCUGGUUGUAAACCGCUUUCGCCUGUGACGAAGCGUGAGUGACGGUAAUGGGUAAAGAAGCACCGGCUAACUACGUG
rnacentral:rRNA from 1 species